rnacentral:rRNA from 1 species
GGGCCCGCACAAGCGGAGGAACAUGUGGUUUAAUUCGAUGAUACGCGAGGAACCUUACCCGGGCUCGAACGGCAGAUGAAUGAUCUGGAAACAGGCAGUCCUUCGGGACAUCUGUCGAGGUGCUGCAUGGUUGUCGUCAGCUCGUGCCGUGAGGUGUCGGCUUAAGUGCCAUAACGAGCGCAACCCCUUACCGUCAGUUACCAUCGGAUUAUGCCGGGGACUUUGGCGGGACUGCCACCGUAAGGUGUGAGGAAGGUGGGGAUGACGUCAAAUCAGCACGGCCCUUACGUCCGGGGCUACACACGUGUUACAAUGGAAGGGACAGCGGGGAGCUACACAGCGAUGUGAUGCGAAUCCCGAAACCCUUUCCCAGUUCGGAUCGGAGUCUGCAACCCGACUCCGUGAAGCUGGAUUCGCUAGUAAUCGCGCAUCAGCCAUGGCG